GACAGAGGAUGCAAGCGUUAUCCGGAAUGAUUGGGCGUAAAGCGUCUGUAGGUGGCUUUUUAAGUUCGCCGUCAAAUCCCAGGGCUCAACCCUGGACAGGUGGUGGAAACUACCAAGCUAGAGUACGGUAGGGGCAGAGGGAAUUUCCGGUGGAGCGAUGAAAUGCGUAGAGAUCGGAAGGAACACCGGUGGCGAAAGCGCUCUGCUAGGCCGCAACUGACACUGAGGGACGAAAGCUAGGGGAGCGAAUGGG
rnacentral:rRNA from 1 species